CUCUCUCUCUAAUAUUAAAUCGGUGUUAUAUAUGUUUUUACAGAUAUUCUAAAACGGGUGGACAACAAUUUUUCAGGAUACACAGCUGCUACUGGGAAUAAAUGAUUUGGAUAAUUCAAAACGUCUAUAGGAUACACAUCUGCUACCUGGAAUAAUUGAUUUGGAUCAUCCAACAUUAAAUGAGAAAUCCGAGGUUCAAACCGAGACCGCGUCUUCUUUACGAAGCCUGUCCCCAUCACGCUAUUUUCGACUGGACAGCCCCCCACAACAAGGAUACCUGAAGCAUUAUUGACUCUAACUAUGAAUGACUUCGACUCCUCCCCGGCCUAUACCGGCACAGAAGGCCCUACACAUUGAGAGGGGGUGUUCGAGGGGGAAUUCGGCGCCCAGGACAUACCCAGUAAAACACUGAAACCGGAUGAUUUCAAAGCUUUAAAUGACAAUUCUGAGGUAGACGAUUUGUUGCUGAAUGAAGCGACCAGAGAGCUUGAUACAGCCAAUUCUUAGGUAGAAACAAUAAUCCAUCAGGAUAUUCUAAAACUGGAGGACACCAAAUUUUCCGAUAUGUCUCUAUGUCAAUUGUAUGUAUUUUGUAUGAUAAAAUGUAUAUAUUUUAUUUAAAUAUAGUUGAAUAUUAUUGUAGAAAAGGCCCAUGGAGUUGGUGGAAUCGUCCUUAACUUCAUGGCCACUUACUCAGCUGGACUAGGGGGUGCUUUAAUUAGGUCGGGUGGAAAUGUCUGACAGAUCUCAUCCGAAUAAACUGAUCUUGCUGGUUUCUCUUGCUUAACUCCGUCUAAUCCAGAAGUUCUGUGCGUCCAUGAAUCCACCGAAUCUGUUACAUUUCAGCGGAACUAUCUGUUGCGAUCGGGAGAGUGGACCAUCAGUUAUUGUUUAUAGUUAUUACGGUGGAGUGCGGCUUGGAUUGCACGCUUCAAAUCUAUUGUGUAAUGUGAAUGGUCAAUGAUCACGGCCGUACGGAUCAUCACAGGCCAAUUAGGCCAACGAUAUAUGGUUAACAUGAAAUUGCAUGUACACAUGAAGACACUUCAAAGGGUGAAAUAUGAAACGUCAUUGUUUGCUGAACUGAUCGAU